GCCAAUUCUGACCGUGUCAACGAAUCAUCCACGCACCUGCAGCUCUGCUGAGAGAGUGCAAGCCGUGGGAAUUCAGCAGCUGAAUAUCAAGACCUUUGAAUUCAACAAGAAGUUAAGACAUUUAUAGUUGUCUAACAACAGACUGAAGAUUGUGGCUUGGUAUUCACUGGCAGGUUUCAGACAUUUAGAUCUUUCUUUUAAUGACUAACACCAUGCCUAUCUGUGGAGAAGCUGGCAACAUGUCACACCUGGAAAUUGUUUUUCAACAUUAAUACUAUUAUUUGGCAGUAAUCCAGAUUGCUUUUGCCACCAACCUGAAGACAUAUAGAGGCAGAAGGACAGGAAUAAUUCUAUUUGUUUCCUGUUUUGAAACUUCCAUCUGUAAGUAUUGUUAUGACAGCAGAGGGUGAUGCUCCAGAGCUGCCAGAAGAAAGGGAACUGAUGACCAACUGCUCCAACAUGUCUCUAAGAAAGGUUCCCGCAGACUUGACCCCAGCCACAACGACACUGGAUUUAUCCUAUAACCUCCUUUUUCAACUCCAGAGUUCAGAUUUUCAUUCUGUCUCCAAACUGAGAGUUUUGAUUCUAUGCCAUAACAGAAUUCAACAGCUGGAUCUCAAAACCUUUGAAUUCAACAAGGAGUUAAGAUAUUUAGAUUUGUCUAAUAACAGACUGA
rnacentral:lncRNA from 1 species